rnacentral:rRNA from 1 species
CCUACGGGAGGCAGCAGUGGGGAAUAUUGGACAAUGGGGGGAACCCUGAUCCAGCCAUGCCGCGUGUGUGAAGAAGGCCCUCGGGUUGUAAAGCACUUUCAGUGAGGAAGAACGCCUGGUGGUUAAUACCCAUCAGGAAAGACAUCACUCACAGAAGAAGCACCGGCUAACUCCGUGCCAGCAGCCGCGGUAAUACGGAGGGUGCGAGCGUUAAUCGGAAUUACUGGGCGUAAAGCGCGCGUAGGUGGCUUGAUAAGCCGGUUGUGAAAGCCCCGGGCUCAACCUGGGAACGGCAUCCGGAACUGUCAAGCUAGAGUGCAGGAGAGGAAGGUAGAAUUCCCGGUGGAGCGGUGAAAUGCGUAGAGAUCGGGAGGAAUACCAGUGGCGAAGGCGGCCUUCUGGACUGACACUGACACUGAGGUGCGAAAGCGUGGGUAGCAAACAGGAUUAGAUACCCUGGUAGUC